GACGAACGCUGGCGGCGUGCUUAACACAUGCAAGUCGAACGGAAAGGCCUGCUUUCCCUUGUGGAUUGCGGGUACUCGAGUGGCGAACGGGUGAGUAACACGUGAGUGAUCUGCCCCCAACUUGGGUAUAAGCCUGGGAAACUGGGUCUAAUUCCCGAUAGGACUGCAGGGUGGUGCCUGUGGUGGAAAACGAUUUUCUAGUGGUUGGGGAUGAGCUCGCGGCCUAUCAGCUUGUUGGUGGGGUAAUGGCCUACCAAGGCGGCGACGGGUAGCCGGCCUGAGAGGGUGGACGGCGACAUUGGGACUGAGAUACGGCCCAGACUCCUACGGGAGGAAGCAGUGGGGAAUAUUGCACAAUGGGCGGAAGCCUGAUGCAGCGACGCCGCGUGGGGGAUGACGGCCUUCGGGUUGUAAACUCCUUUCGACCGCGAGGAAGCCACCUGGUUGGAAGGGUGGUGACGGUAGUGGUAGAAGAAGCACCGGCUAACUACGUG
rnacentral:rRNA from 1 species